rnacentral:rRNA from 1 species
GACGAACGCUGGCGGCGUGCUUAACACAUGCAAGUCGAACGGAAAGGCCCUGCCUUUGUGGGGUGCUCGAGUGGCGACCGGGUGAGUAACACGUGAGUACCCUGCCACUGCCUUUGGGAUAACUUCAGACAACUGGGGCUAAUACCGGCUAGGAGCUCUUGCUGCUUGGUGGGGGUUGGAAAGUUUCGGCGGUUGGGGAUGGACUCGCGGACUAUCAGGUUGUUGGUGGGGUAGUGGCAUACCAAGCCUUUGAACGGUAGCCGGGCUGGGAGGGGGACCGGCCACACUGGGACUGGAAUGCGGCACGGACUCCAAUGGGAGGGAGGGGUGGGGUAGGGAGUACUAUAGGAGGGGGGCUGAUGCAGCAAAGCCGCGUGCGGGAUGACAUCCUGCGGGUUGUAUACCGCUGUCGCCUGUGACGAGGCGUGAGUGACGGUAAUGGGUGAAGAAGCACCGGCUAACUACGUG